GGGACGCGCACGCCGUUGAAGAGAGGUGGAGGCGCCGCGGGGGUGGAAACUGGGUGGAUGGAACGAGCCUGGGUGCCGGAUAACCCCGAGACGCCUGCAGCGUGCCUGCAUCUCCUCCGCAACGCUUUUCAACGUGCAAGAAAGGUCCUCUCGCGAAAUGCAGCAAUGACGACGACGACGACGACGACGACGACGACGACAACGAUGACGACGAUCUCGCGUUUGUACGGAAGCCUCGGAUCAAUUACAUAAUGGCGCGAUUGAAACGGAUGCUCUCCAACCGCGAACGACCCCUUCCGUCCCCACGGACUUCUCUCAUCCUACUACCCUCCGGCGGGGGUGAGGCGGCAACCCCCACGUGCGCACACGGCCCCUUUUCGUAAAAUGACUAUAGAACAAAGGGUUGAGCCUCUUCUCUGCGGGCCGCAGUAUACAACAAGAUACGGUGACGCGGCUUCUAAUCGCCCGACGAUUCGGGACAAUUGCUGAAGACGCAUUCACCGCGCCGCCGGUUGUAUCGAGCGACGUCUCGCAUCUGCAAAAUCGGCGGGCGAAAAGGAGACGAAAAAGAAGAAGAAGAAGAAGAAGAAGAAGAAGAAGAAGAAGAACGAGAAGAAGAAGAAGAAGAAGAAGAAAACAGAAGUGGAAGAAGCGGAACGUGUUCCGUCGUUGAGCCGCGCGAAAAAAUUCAAGAGAAUAACCUGCCGCGGACGGAGCGCGCGACUCGCGCGAACACCGCCGGGACGAGAACUUAUUCUCAAAGCCGCGAGAAUCCGCAUUUUCGGGAGGAGAGAGAAGCGAAAAUAAGACAUUCGCGCGUUUAUUAUUAUCGCGAGAGCCUGCCUCGCGGCUUUGUAGCCGAGGAUCUCCGCCAUUGAUCGCGUGUCUGUGUGUUUAGCAUAACGACGCGAAUUCGCGUCGCUUUUGCAAAACAAAUGUGGAGUCUGACAUCUUAGCGUUGUCACGGGUACACACUCAGACUCACGGACAAUGAGCGAGAGGUAUCCCCCCGGUAUAUCCUCCUCCGCUCGAUUGUAUCGGAUUAUACGAAGCCAAGCGGAUGGACGGGAGGAGCGAGUGACGUUUCAUUUGACGAUUCAUCCUUCCGGAUAUCGUCCCGAUCCAUCGAAUCGCGGAGGAAUCGUCGCGACCGAGAAGUCGUUCUCCUCGCGAUCUCAUUAUCCCGACGACGGCGGAGACGCUUCGUCCUUGCUUGCCUGCGCUUCCUUCCUUCCUUCCUUCCUUCCUUCUUCCCUUCCUCCCUCCCUCCCUCCCUCCCUCCCUCCCUUCCCACUUAUAUCCAUCUUCCCUCUCGGGCGUCGGCGAGGACGCUCAACGAGGCUCGCGACUCGCCGAAAUACUUUCCUCGUUAGUCUUAAUUUCGCACGCCCGGCGCGAUACAGGGAACAGGCGAGACGCACUUCGCGCGACGAGGCACAUCCUCUCUCGCCAGGAGAGCGUUAAUGACACCGCGGGUACACGGGAUGAAUAACACCGUGACAACGGGGCUCGUCCCGUCCCGUCCCGUCCCGUCGCGUGGCGCGAGCUCCUUAAUUUUCCUGCCUAAUGUUCGAAUUAAUUUUCCGUUCGCUUUUCACUCAGUUCCAUCGCGACUGGCUGCUCCUCCUCCUCCCUCCUCACCCCCUGCCCUCCGCCGAGAGACGACGCGCUCGUAUAGAUACGCGUAUCCAAUAAAUAGUGUCCUCGCUCGAUUGUGUAUUCUCCAUCUUUUUUGUUUCUCUUUCUUUCAUCCUUUUUUAUUCUAUUUUAACAUUGACUCGUCACGUGGCCGCGAGUAAAACCGCGCGGUGUAGCUCCUCGUUAAAUAAAAGAGCUGGAGCUUUUACGAGCGGUCGCUCGGGGGAUUCCCUACCUUUCACCGGCGUUUUCUUCCGGUAAUUAUCCCCGUGACUGGCGACAGUCCAGAUUCGAAAAAAGCGGUCCGUCCGAAAAUUUCCCGGACAAAUCCUUCGGCUAUCGUCUCGGCGAGCAAUAACCCUGCAAAAAAGACAGAACACAAGCUUGUCAGAUUUUGUUCUUCUUAAUUCCAGGCAGACUCGACGCUGAGAAGACGAGAAUGCCGCUGAUCGGACGAUACCGUUGUGGUUUUACUCUGUAAGAAUCGACGAUUCGUUAAAAGGGCAAGGCUCUCGAAGGGAUAUUUCGGACGGAGCCGCGCGAAGGAACCAAUACGGAUAAAUUCGACGACGCCGGAUAAAUUCGAAGCCGAAAGCGGCGCCGCGUCGCGUCGCGUCGUCGUCCGUAAAAGAAAACGCAGCCGCGACUGAAAACCGCGACUUUUCAAACGUGUUUUUGAAAAGGGAAUAUCGUGUUUCAUCAUAUAGAUAUAUAUAUAUAUAUAUAUAUAUACAUACACAUAUGCAUAUACACAUGUACGUAUCUAGCGAGUAAUGCCUCGGUACUCUCGGCCCGAGCGAAAUCUCAGCCCGCAGGAAUGACAAUAGACUGUCAGAUAAUGAAUCCCCACUGUCACCCCCUGUACCGCCGCGCGUCCUAAAACCCUCAAUCUACCGUGUUCCCUUUCGACGUCUCCCCCCCCUCUCGCACACUCUCUCACCUACCUUCCUACCCGCCUACGCUCGUACGCCCUCCUGCCGCAGCGAUGGACUCGAGAAAGUCGCGUUUCAUCCCGAAAAACAACGUCCUAUGGCCGCAGGAGUCAAAGCGCGCCGCGGGAUUACUCCCUCCUCCCGU
rnacentral:lncRNA from 1 species